rnacentral:misc_RNA from 1 species
GAUGAAGAACGCAGCGAAAUGCGAUAAGUAGUGUGAAUUGCAGAAUUCAGUGAAUCAUCGAAUCUUUGAACGCACAUUGCGCCCUUUGGUAUUCCAAAGGGCAUGCCUGUUCGAGCGUCAUUUGUACCCCCAAGCUUUGCUUGGUGUUGGGCGUCUUGUCUCUAGCUUUGCUGGAGACUCGCCUUAAAGUAAUUGGCAGCCGGCCUACUGGUUUCGGAGCGCAGCACAAGUCGCACUCUCUAUCAGCAAAGGUCUAGCAUCCAUUAAGCCUUUUUUUCAACUUUUGACCUCGGAUCAGGUAGGGAUACCCGCUGAACUUAAGCAUAUCAAUAAGCGGAGGA